CAAGGUUCUGAGUGACUUAGGGAGCACCCAGUUUUAAGUCCCCUUUCCAUAUUCAAACACAGGCAAAUGGAGGUUUUGGGGACAUGAAUUAGUUUUGUGUUAGAUGCCAGAAUGCAUUUGAAUCGCAGGUGCUCUCUGCUGUCUGUUUGUUUAGGGAAAUCACUGCAACUCCCCACCUGUCUCCAACUCCUCCAGCGCUCAGCAAACUUCAACUGACAAAAUCCAGGCACGUGGUGAUGUGUAGCCCAGUCCUUCGUCUCAAGGUCAAAGGGUCAUCUACAGCUGUGCUCACACACCCUGGCUGUGACCAGGCCAUGGAGGAUUGUGAAUUUUCUGAGAAAGAAAAUGAGUUUCGGGGCGAGUUGGUGAACCAGCGGUGGACACGAGGCGGAGAGGACCAG